GACGAACGCUGGCGGCGUGCUUAACACAUGCAAGUCGAACGGAAAGGCCCUGCUUUUGUGGGGUGCUCGAGUGGCGAACGGGUGAGUAACACGUGAGUAACCUGCCCUUGACUUUGGGAUAACUUCAGGAAACUGGGGCUAAUACCGGAUAGGAGCUCCUGCUGCAUGGUGGGGAUUGGAAAGUUUCGGCGGUUGGGGAUGGACUCGCGGCUUAUCAGCUUGUUGGUGAGGUAGUGGCUUACCAAGGCUUUGACGGGUAGCCGGCCUGAGAGGGUGACCGGCCACAUUGGGACUGAGGUACGGCCCAGACUCCUACGGGAGGCAGCAGUGGGGAAUAUUGCACAAUGGGCGGAAGCCUGAUGCAGCAACGCCGCGUGCGGGAUGACGGCCUUCGGGUUGUAAACCGCUUUCGCCUGUGACGAAGCGUGAGUGACGGUAAUGGGUAAAGAAGCACCGGCUAACUACGUG
rnacentral:rRNA from 1 species